AUUGAACGCUGGCGGAAUGCUUUACACAUGCAAGUCGAACGGCAGCACGGGAGCUUGCUCCUGGUGGCGAGUGGCGAACGGGUGAGUAACAUAUCGGAACGUAUCCAAUAAUGGGGGAUAACUAAGCGAAAGCUUGGCUAAUACCGCAUACGCCCUGAGGGGGAAAGCUAGGGAUCUUCGGACCUGGCGUUGAUGGAGCGGCCGAUAUCUGAUUAGCUAGUUGGUGGGGUAAAGGCUCACCAAGGCGACGAUCAGUAGCUGGUCUGAGAGGACGACCAGCCACACUGGAACUGAGACACGGUCCAGACUCCUACGGGAGGCAGCAGUGGGGAAUUUUGGACAAUGGGCGCAAGCCUGAUCCAGCCAUUCCGCGUGAGUGAAGAAGGCCUUCGGGUUGUAAAGCUCUUUCGCAAGGGAAGAAAGAUUACGCUCUAACAUAGCGUGAUUAUGACGGUACCUUGAUAAGAAGCACCGGCUAACUACGUGCCAGCAGCCGCCGUAAGAC
rnacentral:rRNA from 1 species